UGAAAGUAAACUAAAGCUGUUCCAACAUUGUGAUUGUUAGUAUAAGGGAUUUGGUUAGGUUUGGUUAAUCUAGCCUAAGUGAAAUUAUGAGACCAGGAGGACCGGGGACAGGGCCAGGACCAGGACCCGGAUCGGGGCCUGGAUGGGGUCCUCCUCUAGGUCUCGGAGGACCCCCAAUGCCAGGACCUUGCGGCUUCUUUGGUGGUUUAUGUGAUUUUAUAGGUUCUUGCCUGAGCUUCUUCUGCUGUUGCUGGUUACUGCAAGACUGUUUUAGGGGCCCAAUGGGCUUUUACGGGCCUCCAGGAUCUUUUGGGCCGCCUCUGCCAUGAUCCACUGGGUUGAUCCAAUAAGGAAUUAUAGAAAUACAUGGCACAUUAUGGGAUGAAGGAUGCAUUUGUUGAUAUUCAUAAAACUACAAAUAUGAUUGUUUGCAAAAUAUACCUAUCCUAUAUCUUUUGUAAUUGGAUUGAGAGCUUGUUUCAAUUUAUAAUAUCAUGAUUGUUAAUUAGAAAAAUGUCCCUA